CAACUUCAUCACCCUUUUUCUCCCUCAUAUCUAUGGUCACCACCACCUCCAAUGAAAAAACCAAUUUCAUAUUCGUAUUUCUCAUCUCCCGGACUUCCUAGUGAACCUGUUAGAUUUUUGUUUCGAUGGAUUUCAAAAAGAAGUAGCGCCAAAGUGUGGUGGACGAAAGAAAAUUGUGGUUGGAGGUAGUGGUUACUUUAAGAAAUUUCUUUUGUCGGCGUAUUUAGCUAUUUCGGCUUCGGAGCUCUCUGUGGCUUCAAUUUGAAUUUGAUCAAAUUGCUAUUGGAGCUGCUUAAUGCUAUUAAUGCUAUAAAGGAAAUUGUUGAGGAAUGAGGAGGUUAUUGAAGUUUGUGGUGGUUGCACAUUGCUUAAACUUGCAUUAAAGGUGGAUUUUCAAUCAAGGAAAUUCUUGCAAAUGAUGAAGAAAAAGUUGGAGCAGACAUUGUUAAAAAAGCUCUUAGUUACCGUCUGAAAUUAAAAGUUAAGAAUGUCGGUGUAAAACAUCAGAC